GUCUACAGCCAUGCCACCCUGAACGUGCCUGCUCUAGUCUGAUCUUGGAAGCUAAGCAGGAUUGGUCCUGGUUAGUACUUGAAUGGGAGACUACCUAGGAAUACCAGAUGCCAUAGGCA
rnacentral:rRNA from 1 species